rnacentral:lncRNA from 1 species
GGGAGAGAGAGGGAACUGGGAUUGACAUGUAAAACAAUCUUGUUUCUAACUUAAAUAAAAAAUGGAGAAAUAAAAAAAAAAAAAGAAAGCAGACUGAGCAAGCCAGAGGGACCAAGCCAAUAAACAGCACUCCAUCAAGGCCUCUGCCUCAGCUCCUGCCUUCAAACUCCUGCCCUGUUUGAGUUCCUGUGCUGACUUCCUAUUGGAAUGAACAGCAAUGCUGAAGUGAGGUAGAGGCAGGAGGAUCAGAAGUUCAAGAUCAUCUUUGACUACAUAGCAAGUUUGAGGCCAGCCUGGGAUGUGAGAUCUUGUCUCAGAAACAAACAAAUGAAGCAUGGUGACACCUGUCUGGAGACUAGCAAGAGUCAAGAAGCAAUGAAACAGACAAAAGCCCCAGCAUGGAUGAAGACUGCAGCUGCCGGUGGGACACACAGGUUGCUGGUUUCCACCUAGCACCUGGAAGGUGUCAGCGUAUGUCCUUUGAUGGUACUUUUUUCUUUCAAGUACAGCCUAGUUGGUAAGUCUGCCACCCUGAUGGCUUAGAAAUGCCCAUGGCGGCUUGUCCAGCUGAUGUCUCCAGCCUGGCUUUCCCAGCGCCCAUCACGAGUGACAACACAUGCCUCUUAAUCAGAGCAUCAAGUGAUUCUGUCAACAUCACUGCACUUGUUGUUUUACUGCAUAUCACCCCUUUGAGGCCCACUUGGAGCUUCCUGCCAGUCCUUGGCUCUUUUCCAAAGGCCUGACUAAUUUCCUGUGCUGAAGGCCCAGCCUCCUUAUCAGGGGAGCCACAAGUUUAGGGAGUCGGAGCCAGUUUCAGAGUGUCCCUUCCAGGCGCUUUGCAGCCACAGCUUGCUCAGUACUCUAAGAAGAGGGCUGCGGGAUGAUAGGAGACCCAAAUCCAGGCCUCAAUUCUGCCUUUAUCCCCAGUAGAUGUGUCUUUGUAAAAGCCAGUAACAUUUCAGUGUCUGUAGAACAGCAAUUGCAAACAGGAGGCCAAGGAAGGAGUCCUGGCCUUGGAGCGGGCUGAAGUUACAUCCGAAUCUGAACUCUGCUGCCCCUGGCUUGCAACCUGGCCCUCGAGGAGGAGGGCCCCAGACUUUAGCACAACUGACUCCAUGAUGCAAAUACCCAUCCAGUCCAUACAACUCAGCAUGUAGACAGUACCAACUGCCUAAAUGAAAACAAAGACCUAAUCCAUCAAAACCCACAGUUCUGGGAAAGUCUUUAAAUGUAGUAACCUUGCUUUUUUGACUUCUGUAGUUCUGUUUCUGG